rnacentral:rRNA from 1 species
GAUGAACGCUGGGGCGUGCCUAAUACAUGCAAGUCGAGCGAACGGACGAGAAGCUUGCUUCUCUGAUGUUAGCGGCGGACGGGUGAGUAACACGUGGAUAACCUACCUAUAAGACUGGGAUAACUUCGGGAAACCGGAGCUAAUACCGGAUAAUAUUAUGAACCGCAUGGUUCAAAAGUGAAAGACGGUCUUGCUGUCACUUAUAGAUGGAUCCGCGCUGCAUUAGCUAGUUGGUAAGGUAACGGCUUACCAAGGCAACGAUGCAUAGCCGACCUGAGAGGGUGAUCGGCCACACUGGAACUGAGACACGGUCCAGACUCCUACGGGAGGCAGCAGUAGGGAAUCUUCCGCAAUGGGCGAAAGCCUGACGGAGCAACGCCGCGUGAGUGAUGAAGGUCUUCGGAUCGUAAAACUCUGUUAUUAGGGAAGAACAUAUGUGUAAGUAACUGUGCACAUCUUGACGGUACCUAAUCAGAAAGCCACGGCUAACUACGUG